rnacentral:tRNA from 1 species
GGGACUGUGGGGUAGUUUGGUAUCCUUGGUGGUUCGGGGCCGCCUGACCCGGGUUCGAAUCCUGGCAGUCCCA